UGGGGAAUAUUGCACAAUGGGGGAAACCCUGAUGCAGCGACGCCGCGUGAGCGAUGAAGGCUUUCGAGUCGUAAAGCUCUGUCCUAUGGGAAGAUAAUGACGGUACCAUAGAAGAAAGCCCCGGCUAAUUACGUGCCAGCAGCCGCGGUAAUACGUAAGGGGCGAGCGUUGUCCGGAAUUAUUGGGCGUAAAGAGUGUGUAGGCGGCAAAUUAAGUCAGAUGUGAAAACUAAGGGCUCAACCCAUAGAUUGCAUCUGAAACUGAUAUGCUUGAGUCAAGGAGAGGAAAGUGGAAUUCCUAGUGUAGCGGUGGAAUGCGUAGAUAUUAGGAGGAAUACCGGUGGCGAAGGCGACUUUCUGGACUUGAACUGACGCUGAGGCACGAAAGCGUGGGGAGCAAACAGG
rnacentral:rRNA from 1 species